UAAGGAAUAUUGGUCAAUGGACGCAAGUCUGAACCAGCCAUGCCGCGUGAAGGAUGAAGGUCCUCUGGAUUGUAAACUUCUUUUAUCUGGGACGAAAACGGGAUUUUUAUCUCAAUUGACGGUACCAGAGGAAUAAGCACCGGCUAACUCCGUGCCAGCAGCCGCGGUAAUACGGAGGGUGCAAGCGUUAUCCGGAUUUACUGGGUUUAAAGGGUGCGUAGGCGGGCACGUAAGUCAGUGGUGAAAUACCGGAGCUUAACUUCGGAACUGCCAUUGAUACUAUAUGACUUGAAUAUUGUGGAGGUAAGCGGAAUAUGUCAUGUAGCGGUGAAAUGCAUAGAUAUGACAUAGAACACCGAUUGCGGAGGCAGCUUGCUACGCAAAUAUUGACGCUGAGGCACGAAAGCGUGGGGAUCAAACA
rnacentral:rRNA from 1 species